CGGAGGAAAAGAAACCAACCGGGAUUGCCUUAGUAACGGCGAGUGAAGCGGCAAAAGCUCAAAUUUGAAAUCUGGUACCUUCGGUGCCCGAGUUGUAAUUUGGAGAGGGCAACUUUGGGGCCGUUCCUUGUCUAUGUUCCUUGGAACAGGACGUCAUAGAGGGUGAGAAUCCCGUGUGGCGAGGAGUGCGGUUCUUUGUAAAGUGCCUUCGAAGAGUCGAGUUGUUUGGGAAUGCAGCUCUAAGUGGGUGGUAAAUUCCAUCUAAAGCUAAAUAUUGGCGAGAGACCGAUAGCGAACAAGUACAGUGAUGGAAAGAUGAAAAGAACUUUGAAAAGAGAGUGAAAAAGUACGUGAAAUUGUUGAAAGGGAAGGGCAUUUGAUCAGACAUGGUGUUUUGUGCCCUCUGCUCCUUGUGGGUAGGGGAAUCUCGCAUUUCACUGGGCCAGCAUCAGUUUUGGUGGCAGGAUAAAUCCAUAGGAAUGUAGCUUGCCUCGGUAAGUAUUAUAGCCUGUGGGAAUACUGCCAGCUGGGACUGAGGACUGCGACGUAAGUCAAGGAUGCUGGCAUAAUGGUUAUAUGCCGCC
rnacentral:rRNA from 1 species